rnacentral:lncRNA from 1 species
GGGGAGACCAGAGGUGAGAAGAGUUCUCUGUUCCUGGUCACUGCCCCCCCUUUUUCUUUUUUUGGUUUCUUGAGACAGGGUCUCGCUGUGUAGUCCAGGCUGGCCUUGGACUCGGGAUCUCCUGCCUCAGCCUCCAGAGUGCAGGGCUGCCAGGUGUCCCCUUCUCUUGUAGUGAAAUCUCUUCUGUGCUAGCCACUGUGGUUGCUGGAGGUUUGUUUCCUGAAACAGUUUGCAGGUUGGAGUCUUUCACAACCCAUUUGUUCCCUCCGCCCAGGCUGAUUCUUUAGCCCGUUUGUCAGCUGCCCGUGAGUCCAGCUUUGUUCUCAAACCAGCCAUGGCUUGCUCUCCCAUCACGGGCCUCAGUUCUCCCAGCCAGGCGACUGGGAAAGCCUGGCCUUAGAGGCUGCUGCGCUGGCUCCUGGCCCGGCUGAGCUGACCAAAAUAGCCACAGAAGAGCUGUUUGCACGGGCUUGUAUCUACUGAGCGACAUCCCUAGCCCCUUUUUUCAAAUUUUGAGACAAGAUUCCACUAAGUUUCCCAGGCUGAGCUCAGAUUUAGAACCCUCGUACCUCAGCCUUACCAGAGUGCUGGGAUUCAGGUGAACACCACCACUCCUCGCUUGAAACCUGUCUCUCUUGUAUUGAACUGAAAUCUGCCUUUUUAAAUGGCCGCCGCACAGUCUUGCUUUACCCCCGGGCCGGGUGUGAGGUGAGCACGCUGCAGAACACCCCACUCAGGCCCACUCGCCACUGCUCCCCCAACUAAAGACUGCCCUCUCCAAGCGGCCCCCGGGAACAGAGCCCCCCCGUCCCUGUGGGCGAACGUGUGCAGGGGACAUGGGGGCUGUUGUUUUUCUCAUCCUGAGACUGGAUGUUUAGAAAUGCAGACUCAGAUUACAGCGGCACUUUUGGCAAUUGUGUAGUUUGCACUGGUUCCCGUUCAGCCACCUGUCACCCUAUCCUGUACGCAAGUCACUUGGUUUUACCCUCAGCACGGCAUGGACUAAAACUCCACUGAGUGCUAGGGCUGCUGACCCCGGUGUCACAUGAGGGGCUGGAUCACCUGGGGAGAGGACCUCGCACAGGGCUGCAGUCUGUGUUCUUAAACACUGCACCUGCCAGUUUUGGUUUGAAACAAGGCCUUGCUAAGUUGCCCAGGCUGCCCUUGAGUUUGGGGUCCUUCUGCCUCAGCCUCCCAAGUCACUGGGAUUACACAUGUGUGCCCGUCUUACCU